rfam:Aedes albopictus isolate Foshan contig41872, whole genome shotgun sequence.
AUAGUUACGGCGACAUGGUGCCAGAAACAAUAGCCGGUAAGAUCGUGGGAGGUGUCUGUUCCCUGAGCGGUGUGUUGGUCAUCGCGCUACCCGUACCUGUAAUUGUGUCCAAC